UACGGGGGGGGGCAAGCGUUGUUCGGAAUUACUGGGCGUAAAGGGCUCGUAGGCGGCCAACUAAGUCGGAUGUGAAAUCCCCCAAGCUUAACUUGGGAACUGCAUCCGAUACUGGAUGGCUUGAAUCCGGGAGAGGGAUGCAGAAUUCCAGGUGUAGCGGUGAAAUGCGUAGAUAUCUGGAGGAAUACCGGUGGCGAAGGCGGCAUCCUGGACCGACACUGACGCUGAGGAGCGAAAGCCAGGGGGAGCAAAGCGGGAUUAGAA
rnacentral:rRNA from 1 species